CAAAGCAUAAAUAAAGAGUAAUCAGCACAAACGUUCUUACCUUUAAGUUUAUAGUGGAAAAUGUUUUUACUUUUUAUUUUUUGACAAUUUUUCCCCUUAUUUCUAUCUCUCUUUGCGGAAAACGUCAUUUCAUCAACUUAUCGUUACUUGCUCUGUUAAUUAAUUACAAAAAUAUAAUUUUCUUUUUAAACACCAAGGGUAAAAUAGUCUCAACCCAUUUAAGCCCCUUCGUCUUCUCUUACGCAUGAAGGUUCCGUUGAGGUUUCCUCUUCAAAAAAAUUCAUUUUUUUUUUCUAUUUGUACAAGUUUUCCUUCCUUCUCCUCUGAUAUGCUAUCAUCUCAUCUCGUGGGCGCAUAGUGGAAGCACGUAGUGAUAAAUUUUGGAAGAGCAAAGGUAAAAGACAUUACAAGUAGGUAUUUUUUUUUUUCAUUUCAUAAUUUUGUGUUUUGCACGAUUGAGAAUCUAUGUCGAGUUUUGAUACUGUUUUGUUAUGCAGACCUUCGAGGGGCAACACGUUUCUUCCGUUUUUGAGAAAUCCAAGCGACCCAUUUAUGGUAUAAUAUUCAUUUCCUAAAUUUCUAUGUGAAUUCAUCCAAUUCCACUGUGCAUUCACAUAAUUUCAAUGUCCAAUCCCCAAAUUUAUGUCCAUUUUAGUGUGAUACAUUCAGCGUUUCUCUAUCACCGGGCAUAUUUCAUUUUGACGUGAAUUCAAUGUGCAUUUAGCGUUUAUCAAUUUAUUUGCAAAGUUAGAAUCAAAGCCUAAAAUUUCCAAUUUUAUUGCUUGAUUUUGAUGUGAACUUUAUAUUAUUGUAUACAGGUGUUAAUCUUGAAUAUUUCACUGUUGAAGUACAUUAUGAAGGCCAAUUUUAUGAUAAACCAAACACUGUGAUGUAUGAAGGGAGGUUCGUGCUUUUCGUCGACUUCAUUUAUUGUAAAUGGUGCAUAGAAGAGAAUUUGAGUAAAUUCUUACAUGGAACUUGUUAUGAAAGGAUGUUGAAGGCGGGAAGAGGGGGGUGUAAAUGGAUUGAGAAUAUUUUACCCUUGGUGUUUGAAAAGAAAAAUGUAUUUUUGUAUUGAAUGAAGGAGCAAGUGACGGUAAGUGGAUGUUAGGACAUUUUCCGUAAUAAAAAAGGUGGAAAUAAGGAAUGUCUAAAAACGAAGGUAGGAAUUUUUUCACAAUAAACUUGAAAGAUAUGGACGUUUUGUGCUAAUGACCCGUAAAUAAGUGAUACAAAAUUGCUCCAAUAGACUGGUAGAGGUCUACCCAAAUUCUCUAUGGUCUAGACAGUUUUAAAAAGAAUAUAUAUAUAUUCUCUUCACUCCACCUGUGUUCAAAGUGGUUGAAGUUAGGUCAAGAUUGGCU
rnacentral:lncRNA from 1 species